UCCGGUUUGUCACCGGCAGUCCCAUUAGAGUGCUCAACUGAAUGUAGCAACUAAUGGCAAGGGUUGCGCUCGUUGCGGGACUUAACCCAACAUCUCACGACACGAGCUGACGACAGCCAUGCAGCACCUAUAUACAGACCCGAAGGCGUUAACAUCUCUGCUAACUUCCUGUACAUUUCGAGCCCAGGUAAGGUUUUUCGCGUUGCAUCGAAUUAAACCACAUGCUCCACCGCUUGUGCGGGCCCCCGUCAAUUUCUUUGAGUUUUAAUCUUGCGACCGUACUCCCCAGGCGGGAUGCUUAACGCGUUAGCUGCGGCACUGAAGGGGUCAAUACCUCCAACACCAAGUAUCCAUCGUUUACGGCGUGGACUAC
rnacentral:misc_RNA from 1 species